AGGUGCGAUCAUACUAGCACUAAUGCACCAGAUCCCAUCAAAACUCCACAGUUAAGCGUGCUUGGGCGGGAGUAGUACUAGGAUGGAUGACCUCCUGGAAAGUCCUUGUGUUUAACCUC
rnacentral:rRNA from 2 species